rnacentral:rRNA from 1 species
CGACUCUCGACAACGGAUAUCUCGGCUCUCGCAUCGAUNNNNAACGCAGCGAAAUGCGAUACUUGGUGUGAAUUGCAGAAUCCCGUGAACCAUCGAGUCUUUGAACGCAAGUUGCGCCCGAAGCCAUUAGGCCGAGGGCACGUCUGCCUGGGUGUCACGCAUUGUCUU